CCGACCUUAGCUCAGCUGGAAGAGCACAAGACUGUAAUGGGAAUGACUUCAUAUCUGUCUAUCUUGGGGUCGCCUGUUCGAGCCAGGCAGGUCGGA